CAGUCGCCGCGGUAAGACAGAGGAUGCAAGCGUUAUCCGGAAUGAUUGGGCGUAAAGCGUCUGUAGGUGGCUUUUCAAGUCCGCCGUCAAAUCCCAGGGCUCAACCCUGGACAGGCGGUGGAAACUACCAAGCUGGAGUACGGUAGGGGCAGAGGGAAUUUCCGGUGGAGCGGUGAGAUGCGUUGAGAUCGGAAAGAACACAAACGGCGAAAGCACUCUGCUGGGCCGACACUGACACUGAGAGACGAAAGCUAGGGGAGCAAAUGGGAUUAGAUACCCCGGUAGUCCCUGUCUCUUAUAC
rnacentral:rRNA from 1 species